rnacentral:rRNA from 1 species
CAGCCGCCGCGGUAAUACGUAGGUGGCAAGCGUUGUCCGGAAUUAUUGGGCGUAAAGCGCGCGCAGGCGGAUCAGUUAGUCUGUCUUAAAAGUUCGGGGCUUAACUCCGUGAUGGGAUGGAAACUGCCAAUCUAGAGUAUCGGAGAGGAAAGUGGAAUUCCUAGUGUGGCGGUGAAAUGCGUAGAUAUUAGGAAGAACACCAGUGGCGAAGGCGACUUUCUGGACGAAAACUGACGCUGAGGCGCGAAAGCCAGGGGAGCGAACGGGAUUAGAUACCCCCGUAGUCCCUGUCUCUUAUACC